rnacentral:miRNA from 1 species
ACGUCCCUUCCCCAUCGUUCAACA